rnacentral:rRNA from 1 species
GUAGGUGGCAAGCGUUGUCCGGAAUUAUUGGGCGUAAAGCGCGCGCAGGCGGUUCUUUAAGUCUGAUGUGAAAGCCCACGGCUCAACCGUGGAGGGUCAUUGGAAACUGGAGAACUUGAGUACAGAAGAGGAAAGCGGAAUUCCACGUGUAGCGGUGAAAUGCGUAGAGAUGUGGAGGAACACCAGUGGCGAAGGCGGCCUUCUGGUCUGUAACUGACGCUGAGGCGCGAAAGCGUGGGGGAGCAAACAGGAUUAGAUACCCUGGUAGUCCACGCCGUAAACGAUGAGUGCUAAGUGUUAGGGGGUUUCCGCCCCUUAGUGCUGCAGCUAACGCAUUAAGCACUCCGCCUGGGAGUACGGCCGCAAGGCUG